GGCUAAAUACUCCUGACUGACCGAUAGUGAACCAGUACCGUGAGGGAAAGGCGAAAAGAACCCCGGCGAGGGGAGUGAAAAAGAACCUGAAACCGUGUACGUACAAGCAGUGGGAGCACGCUUAGGCGUGUGACCGCGUACCUUUUGUAUAAUGGGUCAGCGACUUAUAUUCUGUAGCAAGGUUAACCGAAUAGGGGAGCCGAAGGGAAACCGAGUCUUAACUGGGCGUUAAGUUGCAGGGUAUAGACCCGAAACCCGGUGAUCUAGCCAUGGGCAGGUUGAAGGUUGGGUAACACUAACUGGAGGACCGAACCGACUAAUGUUGAAAAAUUAGCGGAUGACUUGUGGCUGGGGGUGAAAGGCCAAUCAAACCGGGAGAUAGCUGGUUCUCCCCGAAAGCUAUUUAGGUAGCGCCUCGUGAACUCAUCUCCGGGGGUAGAGCACUGUUUCGGCAAGGGGGUCAUCCCGACUUACCAACCCGAUGCAAACUGCGAAUACCGGAGAAUGUUAUCACGGGAGACACACGGCGGGUGCUAACGUCCGUCGUGAA
rnacentral:rRNA from 1 species